UGGAGUCUGUGUGUCUGGGCAGAUUUAAGAGAUGAUACUGAAUCUAUCAUUUUCAUUUCUUUUCCAGUCCUCUGAUACAGUAUUUUGGAUUACUGCUGUCUUCUGGAGUGAUGGGAGUGAGGUGUAAACCAUCAAGUCUACAAGGACAUAAAAUGUUUCUGUACAAUGCGUGGACAACCAAGAUGGUCUCGAUGGUCAGAUUGUUUAUGAAAAGUCUGAAAUCCUUAUAGGAUACAACCGCAACACAUUUGAGGAGAACAACGUAAUACAACAGCCUUAUGUACAGCUUUCGAUCCAGUGCAUGGAGAACCAGCAAGGCCUUUACGGGCAAAUUGUGUAUGAAGAUGGUUCAUAUCCCAUUAAUCUCCAACAUCUUGCUGAACCAGACAAUGAUGAUGAAGGCAUCGUAAUGUAACCGCUUUAACACAGAUUAAUGUCUGGUUAGUUUUUUUUAAGACGUUGUGUAGUAGGCACUUUUGCUGUUCUUAGCAUUUAUAAGAUUAAUGAAGGAAACGGUUUCUGAAGGUUAUAAGAGGAUGCUGCAAUAAAAAAUUUCUGAAACUCUCAAAGCCAACUGAAUAAACAUCAGGAAGCAUGAUAAACAUCAGCAUGCUGAAGUAAUCAUGUCUUGGGAAAAUAAGUCAUUAUUUUGGUGACCCAGUGUCUCUAACAGUGCCCAAACAUGAGUAGGGGUGAGCGGGGCACAAACUAACGCUGCAUUUAUUUUAACAUAUUUCUACAGGGCUGAGCAAUCUGUGCUUUUAGUAUUUUUCUCUUACUGUCAGAUGAUCAUCUCCUGGGAUUUUUUGAAAAGUUUUAAUGUGUUUUGGUUAGGAUAUUGAACAAAGAGGAACAACAUUUCUUAUGUUUUUUUUUUAUUUCUGAGUUGUAAGUCACCAAAUUCAACCUCACUGUCUUGUUACCAAAAACAACAUUUUGAAGCAACUCCUAGUAACUGAUAGCUGGAAUUGUAAACAUUUUUACACAGCGGGGUUAGUUGUCACAUAGGGCUCUAUUUUAACGAUCUGAAACGCAAGUGCGAAGCGCAACGCGCAAGUGAGUUUGUGGGCGGAUCUUGGGCGCUGUUGCUAUUUUCCCGGCGUGAGAAAUAACUCUUGCGCCGGGCGCAAAUCAAUAAGGGGUUGGUCUGAAGUAGGUUCAUUAUUCAUAGGUGUGGUUUGGGCGUAACGGCAAAUAAACCAAUCAGAACUCUAUCCAACAUUCCCUUUAAAUGCAAGGGCGCAAGUUCCAUGGCGGGUUGCUAUUAUUAUGACGGAUUUACCAGGCGCACGCCAGGAGCGGUUCACAGCCGAGGAGACCGACGUCCUUGUACGGGGGAAUCCCACGCUUGCCAGCAUAAAUCGGGCACGCCGUGUAACGGGAGGUGGAUCUGCCUCAGGACUUGACGCCAGCAGAGGACAUCGCUGCGUCCACCCUCACCGCUGAAAGGGUUUGGGGGCUUUGAAAUCGGACCCAAGAAACGCAAGCAAGGUCCAACCCCAAAGUACUCUUACAAAUCAAGUUCAUAUACAUUAAGGUUUCUUAUGAAAACAUUUUAACUAUUAUUUACAUAAAAUAAACGUAAUACAGCCACACAACAAAGUUAUGAAAAUAUUUUAAUCGUUAUUUGCAUGAGAAUAAAUAAAAACUAUCACCACAAUGCUCACCACUAUGAUUCCCCUUAUCUCGUGUAUUAAUAUUUUUAAUUGUAACAAUUUAUGAUUUGCAAAAAUAACUGUUGCAUCUGUGUAGAUUAGAUAAGCAAAGUGUAUGCGCGUUGUGCACGCUAUACAUUAUGGUCAAGCAUGCGCCCUUAAAAUAGCAUAA